GUCUUUUUGACUUAAAUAUAAAGUAUAACCUGCCCAUUGAUAUUUUUAAAAGGCUGCGGUAUAUUGACCGUACAAAGGUAGCAUAAUCAUUAGUUUUUUAAUUGAGAACUUGUAUGAAUGGUUGAAUGAGAAAUGAACUUUUUUAAUAAAAAAAUUGAAUUUUACAUUUUAAUUAAAAGGUUGAAAUAUAUUUAAAAGACGAGAAGACCCUAUAGAGUUUUAUAAUUUAUAUUUAAUAUUAAAAAAAUUUAAUAGAUAUUUUUAUUUAAAUAAUUAUUUUGUUGGGGUGAUGAUAAAAUUUAACUAACUUUUAUUUUUUUUUACAUUAAUAUAUGGGAAAUUGAUCCACUAUUAGUGAUUAAAAGAUUAAAUUACCUUAGGGAUAACAGCGUAAUUUUUUUUUUAAGUUCAUAUUAAUAAAAAAUUUUGCGACCUCGAUGUUGGAUUAAGAUUUAAUUUUAGGUGCAGAAGUUUAAAAUUUAAGUCUGUUCGACUUUUAAAUUCUU
rnacentral:rRNA from 1 species